GCUGGAUGGAGUCUGCAGCCCUGGCAGCCAGCACAUUCCUGCCAGCAAUUCCCAGGCUGCUGCCACCACCGGAGAUAUCGGUGGGAGGCAGAGAACAGGGUGUCUGCAGGUCCCCAGCUCUCUGAAUCACCUGCUGAGCCCUUUGGUUGCUGGGACUUGCAGCUGCUUAAGCCGUGUUUACCCUUCCCCAGUCCCUUUUCUCCCUUUUCCCCAGGCAGACUGAAGCCAGACAAGAAAGGGCAGAUGCGUCUCCCCCUCGACAAGUCUCUGCAGGGCCAAGCUGGCACAUUACCUGCCAUUCAUACUGGUACCAUCAGAAAUAAAUCAAGCUGGCUCCUCUCCUGCUCGCAGCCAAGUCCAACACCCCUUUUGGGCACUGCCACAAUGCCCUGGAUGGGAAUCCCAGGCCCAUUUUGUCCAAGUGUGUCCUCACUUU
rnacentral:lncRNA from 1 species